CCUACGGGUGACAGCAGUGAGGAAUAUUGGUCAAUGGGCGCUAGCCUGAACCAGCCAAGUAGCGUGAAGGAUGACUGCCCUAUGGGUUGUAAACUUCUUUUAUACGGGAAUAAAGUGCAGUAUGUAUACUGCUUUGCAUGUACCUUAUGAAUAAGGAUCGGCUAACUCCGUGCCAGCAGCCGCGGUAAUACGGAGGAUCCGAGCGUUAUCCGGAUUUAUUGGGGUUAAAGGGAGCGUAGGCGGGUUGUUAAGUCAGUUGUGAAAGUUUGCGGCUCAACCGUAACAUUGCAGUUGAUACUGGCAGCCUUGAGUACAGUAGAGGUAGGCGGAAUUCGUGGUGUAGCGGUGAAAUGCUUAGAUAUCACGAAGAACUCCGAUUGCGAAGGCAGCCUGCUGGACUGUAACUGACGCUGAUGCUCGAAGGUGUGGGUAUCAAACAGGAUUAGAAACCCGUGUAGUC
rnacentral:rRNA from 1 species